rnacentral:tRNA from 1 species
AAUAAAGUGCCUGAUAAAAGGACUAUUUUGAUAGAAUAGAUAAUGUACAUUUGUACCUUUAUUA